rnacentral:rRNA from 1 species
AACGAACGCUGGCGGCAUGCCUAACACAUGCAAGUCGAACGACACCACCGGGACUAGUGGCGCACGCGGGCGUCACGCGUCGGAACCUUCCCUUAUGCAUGGAAUACCUCUCCGACAGGGGUGCUAACACCGGAUAAUGUCUUCUAACCAAAGAUAGAUCGCCCUUGGAUGGGCCGGCGUUGUAUUAGCUUGUUGGUAGGGUAAAAGCCUACCAAGGCGACGAUCCUUAGCUGGUCAGAGAGAAAGGUCAGCGACACUGCGGCUGGGACGCGGCCCAGACUCUUACGGGAGGGGGGAGAGGGGGAUAUUGGAAAAUGGGCGAAGGGCUGAAGGAGCUAGGCUGGGUGAGUGAUGUAGGUCGGAGAGUAGUAAAGCUCUUUUACCCGGGAUGAUAAUGACGGUACCGAGAGAAUAAGCUCCGGCUAACUCCGUG